GCAAGUUUCAAAUGACUGAAAUCCCAACUGUCACCUCCAUGUACCCUGGUGAGAGACCUCGAGCCAGUCAACCAUCCAGAGCUCUGAUGUGACGGGCGCUGCUUGUCAUCAGGGAGUUGGAGCUGGGAGCUGACACAGUCAACAGCGGGUGGUUAAGUCAAUCAAUGAGGUACUCACUGGUCUGCUGUCCAGACCUACGGGAGUUAAUACACGCCCUGCACCUCUCAGGUCCCCCCCAAAUAUCUGUCCAGAAGCCUAACCCAUGUCUUAAGAACCACUGAGGAAUACAUGACCCUUUAGUCAAGUGCAAAUUCCCCAACAGGUUUCCUUUGUCUUUCUAGGGCCACACAUGUGGCAUAUGGAGGUUCCCAAGCUAGGGGUCAAAUGGGACCUGUAGCUGCUGGCCGACACCAUAGUCACAGCAACUCAAGAUCCGAGCCAAGGAGUUCCUGUCGUGGUGCAGCGGAAACAAAUCUGACUAGGAACCGUGAGGUUGCGUGUUUGAUCCCUGGCCUUGCUCAGUGGGUUAACGAUCCGGCGUUGCCAUGAGCUGUGGUUGUAGGCUGCAGACUUGGCUUGAAUCAGGUGUCACUGUGGCUGUGGUGUAGGCUGGCAGGUACACUCUGAUUUGAUCCCUAGCCUGGGAACUCCCAUAUGCCAAGAGUGAGGCCAUAAAAAGCACACACACACACACACACACACACACACACACACACAGCCAUUUAAAAAGAAAACUGUUGGAUUCUUUGUUUUUGUUUUUGGUCUAUUUAGGGCCAUAUCCAUGGCAUAAGGAGGUUCCCAGGUUAGGAGUCAAAUCAGAGCUGUAGCUGCCAGCCUACACCACAGCCACAGCGACGCCAGAUCCUUAACCCACUGAGCGAGGCCAGGGAUCAAACCCACGCCCUCAUGGUUCCUAGUCAGAUUCAUUUCUACUGAGCCACGACAGGAACGCCAAGAAAACUGUUUGUCAAGAAAGACGUGCGGCUCAGAAACAAAGUUCACCAACAUUCACACGAUGACUUUAUUCAAACGUCCCACAGGGUGUAUUUUACAGACAACAUCCUGAUAUCAGCCAGAUCUCCAGGUGCAGUCCAGGUCAUUCAAGGCGGCAGACAGAAGGUCACAGGUACGGCCAUUACCCCCAAGGCCAGGCCAGAUGCAGAGCCACCGUGUUUAAAAAAAAAGUUUAGGAGGGAGUUCCCGUUGGGGCUCAGCAGGUUAAGAAUCUGACUAGUAUCAUGAGGAUGCAGGUUCGACCACAGCUGUGGUGUAGGCCACAGACGUGGCUCAGGUCUUGGCAUGGGUGUGGCUGUGGUGCAGGCUGGCAGCUGUAGCUCCGAUUCAGUCCCUAGCCUGGGAACCUCCAUAUGCUGCUGGUGUGGCUCUAAAAAGGUUUAGGAAUUCCUGCUGGGGCACGAGGGUACCAGGAGCAUGGGCUAAUGAGCUGGCGUGGCUGCAAGUGCUACUGCAGCUUGGAGCUGAUCCCUGGCCCGGGAACUCCAUAUGCCUCGAGGCAGCAAAAAAUAAAUAAAUACUUAAAUAGAAAGUUUAGCCCUUUAGUUGCUGCCAAGCUGCCUAAUUUGGAAGGGAAAUAGUUAUUUGCUCUGAUAUUAAUAAUGUAGCCUAGAUCUUUUUUUCUUUUCUUUUCUUCCUUGGCCAUGCCAGUGGCAUGUGGAAGUUCUGGGGCCAGGAAUCCAACCCGAGCCACGGUAGUCACAAGGCCUGAUCCUUAACCAGCAAGAGCAAGAGGGAACUACAAUAGCUCUUAAAACCAAAUAUGACCCCAAAGAUCACUUCUGUCCCCAUACUGCUAAAGCACUGUUCCUAUUUUCACAGACAGGGCGAUGGGUAUACGUCCCCUGAGCAGCCUGACUGAGGCCCUGCAUGCAGCCCCUCGGCGGGGAGAGGAGCCAGGACUCCUCCACACCAAGGAUCAAGCGUGGAGCUGGAGGGACCGCAAGAGCAUGGGGGGCCCCCGAUCCUCUUCCCUCCCUGCGGCCCCUCCACUUCCUGAGGCCAGGCUUUGCACCGUGGUAUCAGGAAGCCAGGCAGAGGCCUAGGUCAGGCCUGGAGGCGAGGCAGUUCAUGUGAGCAUGCCUGGUGGACUUGGAGGAAGCUGAGCCAGAGGCCCCGUGUAGAGCUCAGAGGGCUGAGAAGCCCAAGCAAGUAAACACAAGUCACGAGGUACAGAAAAGUAAGGCAGGAGUUCCCGUCGUGGCGCAGCCAAAAUGAACCCCACUAGUAUCACUGAGGAUGUGGGUUCGAUCCUGGGCCUCGCUCAGUGGAUUAAGGAUCUGGCAUUGCCAUGAGCUGUGCUGUAGGUCGCAAAUGCGGCUCAGAUCUGGCGCUGCUGUUGCUGCGGUGUAGGCUGGCAGCUGCAGCUCUGAUUUGAUCCCUAGCCUGGGAACCUCCAUAUGCCAUGGGUGUGGCCCUAAAAAGAAAAAGUAAAGGGAGCAGGUGACAGGAGUGCAGAGGCCACUCUCCCAGGCCCUUCUCUUCCAGGUCCAGGCCACAGGGCGCCUGAAUCCUCUAGCCAAACCCCCCAUCCCGAGGCCCCUGCAGACGUGGACUGAAGCAGAGUAGGUUUCAGAGUCAAGGCCAACCACUCGCUUGAGGCGGGGGACACAGCCAGCCCUCAAAGCAGUUAAGUAAAUGCUCUUGGAUAAAUGAAUGGAUGUUUCCCAGAACCUCGCUUCCCACAGCGUCCUGGAUGUGGACAAGCUGCUUUCACGUACAUGCUUUUUUUGUCUGUGCCUGUGGCAUGCAGAAGUUCCUGGGCCAGGGAUCGAACAAGGGCCACAGCAGUGAAAAUGCUGGAUCCUUAGUCACCAGGCUACCCACGAAGUCCUGCUUUCACAUGCUUUUAUUGCAUUUUACCUUUAUGACAGCUCCGUGGGACACACUCUCAGCCUCCCUUUGACGAUAAUUUUAUCCCUGUUUUGCUGAUGAGAAAAGUGAAGUUUGGAGAAGGUAAUCCCUUGCUCAAGGUCACAGACUUGGAAGGACAUAAGCCAGCACUCUUUCUCCAAAGCCCGGCUCCUGCCAUCUUCCUGCACAGCUUCCAACUAACUCUUGCAAAGAGGUUAGCUUCCAACACUUUUAAACAACGUUAAUAGGGUUGCAUCUUGUGUUCUCCCCAAACACGGAAGGCUCUGAGUCACAGAUCUGCUGUGCUGCCUGGAGAGAAUGGGUGAGUGUGGGGCUUGGUUACUUCCUGUCUGGAGGAGUUGCACAAGCUUUGAUAGGGUGCGAGCGUGCAAGAAACCACUGUCGGAAGCCUGGUCAUAGUCACGGGACUGGUCUGCGGAGGGCAGAACGUGGGUGGGACAAUUUACCCAGGGAAGAAAAACGCUGAAGGAGGAAACUGGGCUGUGAAGAGAGAACGUGAGAAAGGAAGGGGGGCCCCUGUGCAGGUCGGGGGCAGCCACUCCCCACAACCAGCCAGGUCUGCAGCCAAGGGCCAAUGCUCGGGACACUUCACUUAAAAAGUCCCCAAACCUUUCUAGCUUCACGACUGUGGGGGAAGGAUGGCUGACAUGUGUCAUACCUGUCACUCCUGUCACACCUGAAUCCAUAGGUCGGAGAGCACAGGCCCUGCAAACAGUCAAACGAGCUCUGAAAUUCUGCUCAUGACUCCUUAGCUGUAACCUCGGGAGCUUACUUUAAAUUGCUCUAAAUCUGUUUCCCUCUCUGUAAAACAGACAUAAAAGGAGUCUGCACACCUGUGAAGAGUAAAUGAAUGUUUGACAUGGCGCCAGGCACUAGGUAGCAGUUAGGAGAACUGGCUCUCCUUGAGCGACCAGGAAUCUGGGGAAUACAGAAAAACAGAGAAACAAGCUGAAGUGACCCUGUAACACAACCAGCAGUCUCAGAGCUAAGCAUUCAAGCACCAGACCUCAGGUGGGCCGCGAAAGAGGGACCAUAGGGUACGGAAUCCCAAGGGCAGGAUGCCUCAGACCCCUGCCCUUUCCCCAGGGACGAGAGUGGCCUACUUCUCUUGGGCUGUGAUCCUGGACACCAGAGAUGGGCACGACUUCCAGAGUGAGUCCGCCUGCCUCCAGGAGAAGGUUGUAACCUCUCCGAAAUUAAGCAUCUUGAAGGACAAGAAUGCCAGCCGUCUGCUACCCUCUUCUGAAGACCCUGCUCUUACCCGAGGCCCCUUCCUCGUCCUCUAGCGCGCAGGACCUUCCAGGCACCGCCCAGGGGCCAGAGGCUGCACCAGCAAAGCCCUCCCCUGGGCAGCACCCUCCCCGCGCCAAGACCUGACUGGGUCUGCGGAUCGGAGUCGGGGUCAGAGUCCUGGUCCCGGGGGGGGAGUCGGAGUUAGGGUCGGGGAUCCAGGCGGGAGUUGGGGUCGAAGUCCUGGUCUGAGUCGGGGAUCCGAGCAGGAGUCGCGGUCAGGGUCGCAUCUGCGCACGCUC
rnacentral:lncRNA from 1 species